rnacentral:sRNA from 3 species
UAUUCUACCCUACGGGGAAGGAUGAGAAGCUUCGACUAAGGUUCGACUCGAGCGUAGCGAGAGAACGUUGCCGCAGGCAACGGCCCGAAGGGCGAGGCGCUUUAGCGCCGAGUUAUCCUUCCCCCACUACUG